CAUGUGCUAGUUGUGCACCCUGUUCUGCCAGUCAAUACACAAUGAGGUUUUCCUGCCUUUCUUUCAGAAUCUUUGCAUUUCGCAAUUAGUUUUCACAGAUCUUGAAAUGUUCUUAUCUAAACUUUGGUUUUCUCUGUUAAACCUGGUAAAAAGUUCAAAAAUUAUUAGGUGUGGAAGAGAGUGAACAUUUGUCGUAGAAAAGAAGACAAUGUAGCUCUCCUGGAGUUCAGAGCCUACUGUAGUGCCAGUGUGGAACACUGUGAGGCCCAAGAGGGAAUUCACUGCAGAACAACUUUUGAAUGUAGUAGCGGACACCAAAUUUAGACAUUUAGAGGACAAUUCUCUAGUGCCAAUUAAAGCAGUUCAGAGUAUAACCAUCUCUUACUUCCUGUGCUCUGUGCUGGAGGAUGCUGAGAGGAAGUGAGAAAACACAGUUCUCCCGGUUCAAAAUUAAAACAGACCAGAUACUACACAUUUUAGGAAUUGUGUUUAGAAACAAAAUGAGGACUUGGAAGUAAACCAUUUUUUUUCAGAAGUCAUGGUCAUCUCACCUUUGAACUGGAAUUUGCUAGCAAAAAGGUUAGGCGCAUCACCUUUAUUCUGAAGAGAAGGCAAACCAGACCAGACUCUUACCAGACACAGGGAAAACAAUUGCUUCAGCUCGAUCCAGCAGUGCCGUGAGCGAACAGGCAGCCUGAGAGAUCCCUGGGCCUCAUACAAAAGAGAGAUAAUUGGCUUUCACGGAGGAGCUGUAAACAUCCAUCA